rnacentral:rRNA from 1 species
UACGGAGGGUGCUAGCGUUGUUCGGAAUUACUGGGCGUAAAGCGCGUGUAGGCGGCCCGCUAAGUCCGAUGUGAAAGCCCGGGGCUCACCCCCGGAAGUGCAUUGGAGACUGGCGGGCUCGAGUCCCGGAGAGGAGGGUGGAAUUCCUGGUGUAGCGGUGAAAUGCGUAGAUAUCAGGAGGAACACCGGUGGCGAAGGCGGCCCUCUGGACGGUGACUGACGCUGAGACGCGAAAGCGUGGGGAGCAAACAGG